CUGCAGUGAUGAGCCUCAAAGUGACUGAUCUGGUAGUGCUGCCCUCCGGGGACUGCUCUGAUCAGGGAAUGAUCGCACUUUAAUCUUCUCUCUGAGCAG